UCAAAGUUUUAUUCUUGCUUAAUAAUUUAUUUAAAUGAUGUUUUACAUGUUAAUUUUUGUGUAUAUAUUUAUUCUAAAUGGAUAUAAUUUUAUCUAUGCAGUAUUUAGUAUUAUUAAUUAAUGAAAUUUAGAUUUAGUAAUUAUUUUUUAUAUUGGCAAAAGUCGUGCCAGCAGUCGCGGUUAUACGUAGAAAUAUAAGUAAAUUAUAUUAGUUGAGAGUUAAUUUAAAAUUUGUGAAUUUAUUUUUUUGUUUUUUUGGGUGAAAUUUUAAAUUAUAUUUAAUUUCUUAUAUUAUUAAUGAAGCUUUGAAAUUUUAAUUAUAAACUAGGAUUAGAUACCCUAUUAUUUAAAAUGUUAAGUUUGUAGGCUUGAGUAGUAUUAGCUAUGUUCUUGAAACUCAAAGAAUUUGGCGGUAUUUUAGUCUUUUCAGAGGAAUCUGUCCCAUAAAUGAUAAUACACGAUUUACUUUACCAUUUUUUGUAAUUUCAGUAUGUAUACCGCCGUCAUCAGUUUAUCUUAUAAGAGUUAAAAAUUUUCUUUAAUUUUUAUUAUAAUUUAUGUCAGGUCAAGGUGCAGCUUAUAUUAUGGUGGAGAUGGAUUACAAUAAAUAUAUUUAUAUGGAGUGUUAUAUGAAAAUUAACAUGAAGGUGGAUUUGUAAGUAAUUUUAUUUAUUUUAUUAAAUUGAUUUUAGCUCUAAAAUAUGUACAUAUCGCCCGUCGCUCUCAUUAUUAAAUUGAGAUAAGUCGUAACAGAGUAGAUUUACUGGAAAGUGAAUCUAGAAAGAU
rnacentral:ncRNA from 1 species